rnacentral:rRNA from 1 species
AACGCUGGCGGCAUGCCUAACACAUGCAAGUCGAACGGUAACGCGGAGAGCUUGCUCUCUGGCGACGAGUGCGGACGGGUGAGUAAUACUUAGGAAUCUGCCCAGUAGUGGGGGACAACAUUCGGAAACGGAUGCUAAUACCGCAUACGCACUACGGUGGAAAGUGGGGGAUCUUCGGACCUCACGCUAUUGGAUGAGCCUAAGUCGGAUUAGCUUGUUGGUGAGGUAAUGGCUCACCAAGGCGACGAUCCGUAGCUGGUCUGAGAGGACGAUCAGCCACACUGGGACUGAGACACGGCCCAGACUCCUACGGGAGGCAGCAGUGGGGAAUAUUGGACAAUGGGCGCAAGCCUGAUCCAGCAAUGCCGCGUGUGUGAAGAAGGCCUGCGGGUUGUAAAGCACUUUCAGUAGAGAAGAAAAGCCUAGGGUUAAUACCCCUGAGUCUUGACGUAACCUACAGAAGAAGCACCGGCUAACUCCGUG